UUCAACUAUUAUAUUUAUUUAUUCAAAGGAGUUAAUAUCAUAUGAGGUUCUCCGCAUAUAGUGGUUUUGCCACGUUUAGUCCUAAACUUUCAAAUUGACCAUUUGUGG